CUGUCUCCAUCCUCACUGUGCUCCCCUGGUCCCUCCCUCCUGGGACUCCUGCCAUAGGGAAGGGCGUGCAGACAGGGGAGGGAGUCCUGUCAGGGAAGGGCGUGCAGUCAGGGGAGGGAGUCCAGUCAGGGGAGGACGUGCAGACAGGAGCAUUCAGGCCAGGAGCAGUCUCGGGGCUUGGGUGGCUUAUACUUCUCUCAUUUGUUUUUCUUUUUCCUUUCUAACGCUUACUGUUAAAGGAGCACAAUUUUAUCAGUUCACCUGAGUGACUGAGGCUUAUCUUUCUUUUUUUUUCCCCAAAGCCCCCCUGUGCGUAGCUGUAUAUUCUAGUUGUGAGUGCCUCUAGUUGUAGCAUGUGGAACGCUGGCUCAGCACGGCCUGAUGAGGGCACCAUGUCUGCACCCAGGAUCUGAACCAGUGGACCCUGGGCCACCAAAGCAGAAGGCGCAAACUUCACCACUCGGCCCUGGGGCCGGCCCCCAAGGAAAGCUUAUCUUAAAAGUUAUGA
rnacentral:lncRNA from 1 species